UCGCGCAUAUCGACCGGCCAUCCUAGGCUCCUCUGGGCGUUUCCCGCCAACUUGGACCGCGGUUUCCGACGAUAUCCUCAAGCUUCCGGCGGUGGACAAGAUAAAAUAAUCAACUCUAGUAAAUCAACCUUUGGAACACGCUUUUCCCUCUCCUUAUCUUCUAAAUAUGCCUAAGGAAAUGUCUAUCUAAAAUUUCGGAGAAUCGGCGAGAGAGCUUUGCUGACGAAAGGGAUGAGGAGGGCAUUAUGUAAGCGUUAACAUUGAUAAGAGCUACGAUUGUAAUUUCGUACGUGUGGAACAGAGCUGUCACGAUGUGUAACAUGCAGUUUUUCUUAGCGCAUAAGUUAUACAACGAGCUCACGUGGAGAGAUCAUAUGUAUAGGAGCAAAUGUCAUUCGCGAAGUGCUCGCUGCAUGCGAUUAAAUAGAAGAUCUUAUCAUCGCGGUUGUCAGUUCGUGAUAUGACUUGCGCGAGAACACUUGCUGUCGAUUGCUGUUUGAACGUGCGCAAUACGGAAUUUCUUGACAAGCAAGCUUCUUGAAAUACCUCUCGUGAUAUGAUUACAUUUUAAGUCUAAUAUAAGUAUUAUCUGUUAAAUGUUUACAGGCAGGCGGAGUAUGGAGAAUGCACGCACAAGCGAACGCUCUCUCGAAUUGUUUCUUGUUGACUUUUGCGAGUUUAUACAUUACGUUAUAUUGCGUUUUGAAACGUGAAACAUACAUUCUUUAUAUACACUUCAUUAUAAAUUUCUUAUCUUACUAAAUAUAUUUUUUUAUCGCACUUA